rnacentral:rRNA from 1 species
UACGGGGGGGGCAAGCGUUGUUCGGAAUUACUGGGCGUAAAGGGCUCGUAGGCGGCCAACUAAGUCAGACGUGAAAUCCCCAGGCUCAACCUGGGAACUGCGUCUGAUACUGGAUGGCUUGAAUCCGGGAGAGGGAUGCGGAAUUCCAGGUGUAGCGGUGAAAUGCGUAGAUAUCUGGAGGAACACCGGUGGCGAAGGCGGCAUCCUGGACCGGCAUUGACGCUGAGGCGCGAAAGCCAGGGGAGCAAACGGG